UACGAUCCACGACGACUACUGACUACUGAAACCCAAGUUUCUCAGCUGAAUUGCAGCUGUUGAACAACACUGGGGAAAUGACCAAUUGCCUGCACAUUCGGGAAAGGCACAGGGACCGCAAAUGCUUGUCCUUGGAAUUUGUUUUUUUUUUUUAAAUAAUUGAAUUUCUUCGCGAAUUUCAAGAGAAAUUCGUGUCUGCACUCUAGUACUCUCGUAAAAUUCAAAUAUUGACCAAAAAAAUCUAUGUACGAGAUAUUGAAUACACUCCAUCCAGUAGCCCCGUAUACGUAAAAUACAUUGUGUGUUUUCUGAGUUUACAAACUAAGUUACUGAAUAUCUCACGUGGUGUAAACGGUGCAGGAUCAAUGAAUGCUUCGAGUGAAUGUGAGUGAUAAAUGCCUAAUAACUCGAUCGCGUAUUCACUAUUCAAAAGUAAUUCGCAUAUGUCAAUUAUUUAACUAUAUCUAGAACUAUUUAGAUUCAUGUAUAUAUAUUAGAUUUUCUAUUAAAGCUGAUAAAUGUA
rnacentral:sRNA from 1 species